UACGUAGGGUGCGAGCGUUAAUCGGAAUUACUGGGCGUAAAGCGUGCGCAGGCGGCUUUGUAAGUCAGAUGUGAAAUCCCCGAGCUCAACCUGGGAACUGCGUUUGAAACUACAAGGCUAGAAUAUGUCAGAGGGGGGUAGAAUACCACGUGUAGCAGUGAAAUGCGUAGAGAUGUGGAGGAGUACCAAUGGCGAAGGCAGCCCCCUGGGAUAAUAUUGACGCUCAUGCACGAGAGCGUGGGGAGCAAACAGG
rnacentral:rRNA from 1 species